GGCGGCGCCACGUGUUCAUCUGGAUCUCGUUCAUAGACAGCUACUUUGAAAUCCUCUUCCUGUUCCAGGCCCUGCUCACAGUGGUGUCCCAGGUGCUGUGUUUCCUGGCCAUCGAGUGGUACCUGCCCCUGCUUGUGUCUGCGCUGGUGCUGGGCUGGCUGAACCUGCUUUACUAUACACGUGGCUUCCAGCACACAGGCAUCUACAGUGUCAUGAUCCAGAAGCCCUGGUGAGCCUGAGCCAGGAGGCUUGGCGCCCCGAAGCUCCUACAGGCCCCAAUGCCACAGAGUCGGUGCAGCCCGUGGAGGGACAGGAGGAUGAGGGCAACGGGGCCCAGUACAGGGGUAUCCUGGAAGCCUCCUUGGAGCUCUUCAAAUUCACCAUCGGCAUGGGCGAGCUGGCCUUCCAGGAGCAGCUGCACUUCCGCGGCAUGGUGCUGCUGCUGCUGCUGGCCUAUGUGCUGCUCACCUACAUCCUGCUGCUCAACAUGCUCAUCGCCCUCAUGAGUGAGACCGUCAACAGUGUCGC
rnacentral:sRNA from 1 species